rnacentral:rRNA from 1 species
UACAGAGGUCUCAAGCGUUGUCCGGAGUUACUGGGCGUAAAGCGCACGCAGGCGGUCUGUUAAGUUUGGAGUGACAGUUGGUGGCUCAACCACCAAAGUGCUUUGAAAACUGAUAGACUUGAGGGCUUCAGAGGGACACGGAAUUCCGGGUGGAGUGGUGAAAUGCGUAGAGAUCCGGAGGAACACCAAAGGCGAAGGCAGUGUCCUGGGGAGUACCUGACGCUCAGGUGCGAAAGCCAGGGGAGCGAACGGG